rnacentral:misc_RNA from 1 species
AAGUCGUAACAAGGUUUCCGUAGGUGAACCUGCGGAAGGAUCAUUAACACGUAUCCAACGUUAAACAACCCUGUGAACUUUCAGCCUGCUCUUGUAACCAUGAGGAACAGCAAUCCCGGUAAAUCAUUGCAAACAGUUUUGAUUCGGGACCUCUGUCCAAAAGGAGUUACAAUUGAGCGGUAGAGGCAGUGGCAUGGCUUCCCCAAGCAGUUAGUGAAUGACAGUGUCACUGAUUGUGUAAGGAUAACGCCUCACGGUUGCCAGAGGUCGUGUCACAGGGUCACCACGCCCCUUAAUCACCCCAAUUUGAAAUUGCUCCUACCUGGUGGUAACGCACUGGGUCAAAAAAACCGAACAACUGUUAACAAUGGAUAUCUUGGUUCUC